rnacentral:lncRNA from 1 species
AUGUUGCUGAAGAGAGAAACAAUGUCAUUAACCACUACUGGACAUUCAAUAAUGUGUACUAGUCAUGUCAAUGUGAGGAAUGCUCUCUUUUCAUUCUCUUUUCUUUCCAUCCUACAGAAUUCCCAUUUUCUUCAUCACAAAGCAGCAAAGAUGGCUCAACAACAACUGUCUGAUACCAGUAUCGUUACAAAAAAUCUUGUUUCCAACUCUUCCACAUCUCUUGCCUCAGGAUCAGAAGAUGUUUUACUCAUGCUUGGAGAUCUGCUGAGAGAAAUCAAGAGAGGAUUGUGAUUCAGAGAACAGCUGAUUGAUUCUCCUCUUCCUGUUCUCACUCAGAGGCCACGGUACGUAAGCAGAAGGUCACAGGCAGUAUGGGAUGGAAGCCACGCUCCAAAAUAAGUACUUUCCUCAGAAUGCAGGCAGAGAGGAAUAUCAAAAUAUGUGCCUCUUCUUGUGUUCAAAUCAAAGAGGAAUUUGGCUUGAGUGUUACAAAAAUGUUUUUGGACACUGAGUAAUAUCACAACUCCACAGUAAGAAAGUAAAAGAAAUCAGCAUCAUUACAUUUAAUGACUCCUACAUUUAAAAAUAUCUGUGAAAAUUUGAAAGGUGCCUGAAGACUGGAGGAUAGGCAGUGUCACUCCGGUCUUCAAAAAGGGCAAGAAGGAGGAUCUGGGAAACUACAGGCCAGUCAGCCUCACCUCCAUCCCAGCAAAGUGACGGAACAGCUUGUUCUGGGUGCCAUCUCCAGGGAAUUGGAAGAGAAGAAGGUUAUCAGGAGUAGUCAGCAUGGGUUCACCAGGCAGAGGUCAUGCUCAACCAACCCAGCCUUCUAUGAUGUCAUCACUGGCUGAGUGGAUGGGGGGAGAGCAGUGGAUGUAAUCUACAUUGAUUUCAGCAAGGCAUUUGAUGCUAUCUCCCACAACAUCCUUAUAACAAAGCUGAGGAAGUGUAUAGAUGAAUGGAUGGUGAGGUGGGUUGAGAACUGGCUGACUGAUCAACCUCAGAGAGUUGUGAUCAGUGGUGCAGAGUCCACUUGGAGGCCUGCAUUUAGUGGUGUUCCUCAGGGGUUGGUGCUGGGUCCGGUCUUGUUCAACAUCUUCAACAAUAACCUUGAUGAGAGGAUAGCAUCCACCCUCAGCAAGUUUGCUGAUGAUACAAAGCUGGGAGGAAUGGCUGACACACCAGAAGGCUGCACUGCCUUUCAGUGAGACCUGGGCAGGCUGCAGAGUUGGGCAGAAAGGAACCAGAUGAGGUUUAACAAGAGCAAGUGUAGAGUCUUGCCCCUGCGGAG